AUUGAACGCUGGCGGCAGGCCUAACACAUGCAAGUCGAGCGGAUGAAGGGAGCUUGCUCCUGGAUUCAGCGGCGGACGGGUGAGUAAUGCCUAGGAAUCUGCCAGGUAGUGGGGGAUAACGUCCGGAAACGGGCGCUAAUACCGCAUACGUCCUGAGGGAGAAAGUGGGGGAUCUUCGGACCUCACGCUAUCAGAUGAGCCUAGGUCGGAUUAGCUAGUUGGUGGGGUAAAGGCCUACCAAGGCGACGAUCCGUAACUAGUCUGAGAGGAUGAUCAGUCACACUGGAACUGAGACACGGUCCAGACUCCUACGGGAGGCAGCAGUGGGGAAUAUUGGACAAUGGGCGAAAGCCUGAUCCAGCCAUGCCGCGUGUGUGAAGAAGGUCUUCGGAUUGUAAAGCACUUUAAGUUGGGAGGAAGGGCAGUAAGUUAAUACCUUGCUGUUUUGACGUUACCAACAGAAUAAGCACCGGCUAACUUCGUG
rnacentral:rRNA from 1 species